rnacentral:lncRNA from 1 species
CUGGCAGCGGCUGGAAGCGGAGGCCCAUGCUGGCGCAGACGCUGCGCGCGGGGGUCCUGGGGCUCUCCGUCCUGCUGCUGGCGGCCGAGUGGAGCGCGCCUCAGUGCGGGGAAGCUGGGGACCGGGCGCCUCUCAUGCUCACCCUUCCAACACCCCAACCCGCCCACAUGCCCCGGGACGAGCCUGCCAUCCUUGCAGGAGCAGGCAGCCUGUCUAUGGCUGGGCACAGGGCUGCGCGCCAGUGCGUGCACGGCCACCCCACCCACCGGCUGAGCACCUCAGCCCAGUCCUUCGUGGAUCCCCCCGGGUGCAUGAUCCUCCUGAGGAGCCGUCUUUCGGCCCAUGGAUGCAUGCUUCCCUGUGCAUGAGACCCCCACGGAUGCACGAUCGCCCCGCGAAUGCACCAUCCUCCGUGAAUCCAUGGUCCCCGGAAGGAUGCAUCAUGCUCUCCUGGAGCCUGGGCAUGCGUAGCACCCCCUUCCCUGCAGAAAGGCCUCCUGGAAUCAGCCAAGUGCUGCUAGUGCGAUACUUGCUGAACGCCAGCGUGGGUGCGCUCUGCUCUCCCACCACCGCGGCCGGCCUGGGGGUCUCGGCGACGGGGCCUCUGCACUGUGGUUUACUACUUCACCACAGGACAGCUCCUCUGGGGGGACUGGCCCUGGCUGUGCUGCUGCCCAGCUGCUUGGUGCAGGGCCUGAGUUAUCUGUGGUUCCCAGCAGAUGGACAUCAAGGUCAUUGUUUGCUGGUCCUGCUGCACGGCCUACAGCUUGGCGUGUGGAAGCGCUAAGGACUGGCAGCCUCCUCUCAACUCUGAGGCAGGAUUGCAUGAGGGCAAUAGGAGGGCUCUUCUGUGCACGAGGACUCUAUCAUAGGGUCCUAGAACUUCAGGGAUGGGCGAUUUUCAGAGCGACCACAUGGAACUCUGGCUCAGAUAUGUGCAUCCGUCUUUCAGCCUGCACUUCCACUUCUUGGAGCAUCUCUAUCAUCAGGGGGCUCCUUCGCAAUGCACCUGUGACACUUCCAAAACUUUUUCUUGACUUCAGCCAAAUUCUAUCUUUCUGUUGUUUCAGUUCAUUGCUCGAGGCAUUAGAGCCAUGGAAAGUGACCUGCUUAAGGGCAUUCCAUUUGGAGACCUACUACCUUAGUCAAGGAAGGUGGCAUAGUUUUAACCACAGACU